UUUACUGGGCAACCGCUGGUGACCUUAACUUAAAGGCCACUAGAGGAAAGUCGGGACUGGCCUUGCCCAUCUAGGGCAAGAAAGUUGGUGCACAGUGUAAGCUGUGGCAGGGUGACCUGACGGCAGCGAACCUGUCCCUUUGGGACAGUACUAGCCAUAAAGGCUCCACAGAGACGAGCUGUUGUGGCAACACAGCAGGUGAAACGGGGAAAGCCCCACCAGCCAGCAACGCAAAUUAUGGUAGCGGCACCCCGAAAGGGGCAAGGGCUGGCAUUAGCCCUUGAGAUAGAUGGUUGCCUUAAAUGACAGAAUCCCGCUUACAGGU
rnacentral:RNase_P_RNA from 1 species